AGAGUUGAUCAUGGCUCAGAUUAAACGCUGGCGGCAUGCCUUACACAUGCAAGUCGAACGGCAGCACGGGGGCAACCCUGGUGGCGAGUGGCGAACGGGUGAGUAAAGCAUCGGAACGUGCCCUGGAGUGGGGGAUAACGUAGCGAAAGUUACGCUAAUACCGCAUAUUCUGUGAGCAGGAAAGCAGGGGAUCGCAAGACCUUGCGCUUUGGGAGCGGCCGAUGUCGGAUUAGCUAGUUGGUGGGGUAAAGGCCUACCAAGGCGACGAUCCGUAGCGGGUCUGAGAGGAUGAUCCGCCACACUGGGACUGAGACACGGCCCAGACUCCUACGGGAGGCAGCAGUGGGGAAUUUUGGACAAUGGGCGCAAGCCUGAUCCAGCCAUGCCGCGUGAGUGAAGAAGGCCUUCGGGUUGUAAAGCUCUUUCGGUGGGGAAGAAAUUGCACGGGUUAAUAGCCUGUGUAGAUGACGGUACCUGGAGAAGAAGCACCGGCUAACUACGUG
rnacentral:rRNA from 1 species